CGCGUGCACUGGUUCGGCCGGGCCUUUCCCUCUGGGGAGCCGCAUGCCCUUCACUGGGUGUGUCGGGGAACCAGGACUUUUACUUUGAACAAAUUAGAUCGCUUAAAGAAGGCCUAUGCUCGAAUACAUUAGCAUGGAAUAAUAGAAUAGGACGCGUGGUUCUAUUUUGUUGGUUUCUAGGACCGCCGUAAUGAUUAAUAGGGACAGUCGGGGGCAUCAGUAUUCAAUUGUCAGAGGUGAAAUUCUUGGAUUUAUUGAAGACUAACUACUGCGAAAGCAUUUGCCAAGGAUGUUUUCAUUAAUCAGGAACGAAAGUUAGGGGAUCGAAGACGAUCAGAUACCGUCGUAGUCUUAACCAUAAACUAUGCCGACUAGGGAUCGGACGAUGUUAUAUUUUGACUCGUUCGGCACCUUACACGAAAGUAAAGUUUCUGGGUUCUGGGGGGAGUAUGGUCGCAAGGCUGAAACUUAAAGAAAUUGACGGAAGGGCACCACCAGGGGUGGAGCCUGCGGCUUAAUUUGACUCAACACGGGGAAACUCACCAGGUCCAGACACAAGUAGGAUUGACAGAUUGAGAGCUCUUUCUCGAUUUUGUGGGUGGUGGUGCAUGGGCCGUUCUUAGUUGGUGGAGUGAUUUGUCUGCUUAAUUGCGAUAACGAACGAGACCUUAACCUGCUAAAUAGCCCGCAUUGCUUUGGCAGUGCGCCGGCUUCUUAGAGGGACUAUCGG
rnacentral:rRNA from 1 species